GUUUUCGUGUUGAAAGACACCUCGGACAUUUUCCCAUAUUUACCACCAGCCAGUGAACCAGUUUAACUGUUGAAAGUUGCCAGUAAACAGAAGUAGCAGUAAAGCAGUUUGGUUUCUAUCAGCUCAAGGACCAGCUAAAUUUUGCCCAUUUUUGUUCUGCAAAAGUCGUUCGUCCACUUGGGCGCUAUCGUUUUAUAUGACUUUAGAAAGACACAAAGAGUCAUUAUUG
rnacentral:lncRNA from 1 species